rnacentral:rRNA from 1 species
UAAGCGGAGGAAAAGAAACUAACAAGGAUUCCCCUAGUAACUGCGAGUGAAGCGGGAAAAGCUCAAAUUUAAAAUCUGGUGGUCUUUGGCCAUCCGAGUUGUAAUUUAGAGAAGCGUCUUCCGCGCUGGACCAUGCACAAGUCUCCUGGAAUGGAGCGUCAUAGAGGGUGAGAAUCCCGUCUUUGGCAUGGACCCCCAGGGCUUCUGUGAUGCGCUCUCAAAGAGUCGAGUUGUUUGGGAAUGCAGCUCAAAAUGGGUGGUGAACUCCAUCUAAAGCUAAAUAUUGGCGAGAGACCGAUAGCGAACAAGUACCGUGAGGGAAAGAUGAAAAGCACUUUGGAAAGAGAGUGAAACAGUACGUGAAAUUGUUGAAAGGGAAACGCUUGAAGUCAGUCGCGUCGACCGAGACUCAGCCUUGCCUUGGCUUGGUGUACUUCUCGGCUGACGGGUCAGCAUCAAUUUUGAUCCUUGGAUAAUGGCAAGGGAAAGGUAGCACCUUUAUAGGUGUGUUAUAGUCCUCUGUCGGAUGCAAGGGUUGGGAUUGAGGAACUCAGCAUGCACCUUGUCGGUGUCGGGGCCUUGGCCCACGUUACGUGCUUAGGAUGCUGGCAUAAUGGCUUUAAACGACCCGUCUUGAAACACGGACCAAGGAGUCUAACAUGCACGCGAGUGUUCGGGUGGAAAACCCGUGCGCGUAAUGAAAGUAAAAGUUGGGACCUCUGUCGUGGAGGGCACCGACGCCCGGACCAGACCUUCUGUGAC